AACGAACGCUGGCGGCAGGCCUAACACAUGCAAGUCGAGCGAGGACUUCGGUUCUAGCGGCGGACGGGUGAGUAACGCGUGGGAAUGUGCCCUUCUCUACGGAAUAGCCCUGGGAAACUGGGAGUAAUACCGUAUACGCCCUAUUGGGGAAAGAUUUAUCGGAGAAGGAUCAGCCCGCGUUGGAUUAGGUAGUUGGUGGGGUAAUGGCCUACCAAGCCGACGAUCCAUAGCUGGUUUGAGAGGAUGAUCAGCCACACUGGGACUGAGACACGGCCCAGACUCCUACAGGAGGCAGCAGUGGGGAAUCUUAGACAAUGGGGGCAACCCUGAUCUAGCCAUGCCGCGUGAGUGAUGAAGGCCUUAGGGUUGUAAAGCUCUUUCAGCUGGGAAGAUAAUGACGGUACCAGCAGAAGAAGCCCCGGCUAACUCCGUG
rnacentral:rRNA from 1 species